AACGCGCCCCCCCGUGUCCCACCCCAGCGGGCGCGCCCCCGCGCCUCCCCCUCCGCCCGCCGGCGGCUGUCCAGGCCGGGAGGGGCUGUGGGGCCUGGCCCCCCGCGCUUCCCCUCAGGCCGCCGGCGGCUGUCCAGGCCGGGAGGGGCUGUGGGGCCUGGUGGCCCCCUGCGCCUCCGCCUUACUUUUCUCAGGGCCGUGAGGGGAGCUGCCAAGGUUGACUUUCAGACAGGGCGGAAUGAGUUGUCACCUGUGUAAGUCCAGGAAAACCAUCCCUGUCAGCGGCAGCGCCAGGCCAGGCACGGCGGGAGGCACCAGCCAGCCGCCUCCUGCAAAACCAGUCACACAGGUGCUUUUUCCAGCAGAGUUAGUAACAGUGUGCCAAGUCGAGAUGUAUCAGCAAAAACACCCAUGCCAGUGUAACUGUAUUGAGACUGAUCUUCCCCAGUGGCCAAGCAUAUCCCUCAGAAAGACCCAUGAUAACCUAUAUGAAGUGGCUGGACUUUCUACAGGAACUGGUCACUGACAUACAGCUCUUACCUGCCAGCAGACUUCAAAGCCUGUAAUGUUUGGCAGCCAAGCCUGCCUCAGAGAUUUUUCUAUUGGUUGGAAGAAGUUACUGGAGCUCGAUGGCAAAUGCUCCAUCAGCACUGGAGUCACAUUCCUACACUAAAGGAGAUUGCCAGUGCUGCUUUCUUGAUUAUAUGCUGCUUCAUGGCUAAAUCCUGAGUUGGAGGUUGUCUGUCGGAAGAGGUAGUCUCCAAAGCCACUCUGCAGAACAGUACCAGGGUGGCAAGGAAGGAACCAGCCUAGGUUUGUAGCUUGCCCUUGGUGAAGACCUCUGGUUCUACGAGAAUGGAAUUUGCUUCCCCGCAGGCUCUUACCUAUUUGGACUAAUCUUCCCAGAGCAGCUACCAGCAGUGCCUGCCAAAGCAAAAGGACUCUAUCUGCAGUCAUCUUGACCUGACAUGUGGCCUAAGUCUCCUCACAGAAGCAUCAUAAGCAGGGACCACCAUCUUUCCGAAUCAUGGGGCAAGCUGGGGUACUCACAAGGAAUCCCCACGUGUUCCUAUCAAGACAAGUUAAUUCACAGGAGAAAGCUGAGGGGCUCCAGAGUGCAUUCUGCCAUAGCUCAGGCAACAUCACCUUUCCAUUCACUAGGUUUGCAAACCCAUCAACUUCAAUUUCUCAUUUGUGCUGUUAUCCAACACAGUUCCAUACUGCUAAGGUGCCAAUGGACCAGUAAUAACUUGGACAUAAACAGCUAGGGCCGGGUUAUUGAUUUUUACUUAAAAAUGCAGUUUUCUGUUUAUAUAUAAUUCAGAUCUGUAAGUGCAAGCCAUUGACAGCUUUUGUCAGAAUAAAAUCAUUAAAAUACUCUGGUUUUCAAUGUA